AUCCCAAUCACUAUGCGUUAUAAUUUUUCGCGUGAGAGAGUAACCAAAUAAGCGGGUGACCGAUUAUGAAUCGAAAUCUCAAUCUUGCGAGACAGAAAUGGGGACGGAACUAGCUUAUGAAGUCAGGGGCGGAGUUUCCCCCCGUGAUCCUAUUCUUUCUCAGACACUAUCCAAGCAUAUUCUGUUGAAUGGGACAACCAAAAGUCAGGAUUAGGUCCCCGGGAUAGAGCGCCAUAUAGAGAUCUGGUUCUCCCUGCAGUUUUUACUCUUCACCCGUCAAGGAUAGAAAAGAAACUGACGCUUUGAUCUUGGAAGAGCAAUUCUUUAAUUGCCCAAGAUUUGCAUAU